GCGGUUAAAAAGCUCGUAGUUGGAUCUCGGCAGGUAGAGGGCGGUUCGUUUCUGACGGCACCGCCCCAUUUACCUGUGUUUUUGCAGAGGUCUCAAGGUGGCUUUAAUCGGCUGUCUUGGAACGCUUGCAGUUUUACUUUGAAAAAAUUAGAGUGCUCAAAGCAGGCUACAAAGCUUGAAUAUUUGUGCAUGGAAUAAUGGAAUAGGAAGUCGUUUCUAUUUUUUUGGUUUUCGGAAAUUGACUUAAUGAUUAAUAGGGACAGCCGGGGGCAUUAGUACUCAGACGACAGAGGUGAAAUUCUUGGACCGUUUGAGGACUAACUACUGCGAAAGCAUUUGCCAAGAGUGUUUUCAUUAAUCAAGAACGAAAGUUAGAGGUUCGAAGGCGAUCAGAUACCGCCCUAGUUCU
rnacentral:rRNA from 1 species